AGUGACUCUGUCCAUAACUAAAACCUUAGUUGCUUUAAAGUUGGUUACUUUGGUAUUCAAUUGGACUACAGCAAACACCAUGUUUAACUAUUCCUCUUAAGGAUAUCGGCUCAAAGAUAUAAACCUUAAUAAAGUGAAAAACAACAUUCUUUAUAA
rfam:Lucilia cuprina strain LS Scaffold472, whole genome shotgun sequence.